rnacentral:rRNA from 1 species
AACGCGAAGAACCUUACCUGGAUUUGACAUGUAGUAGACGUUGUCAGAGAUGACAAUUCUCCGCAAGGGGCUGCUACACAGGUGCUGCAUGGCUGUCGUCAGCUCGUGCCGUGAGGUGUUGGGUUAAGUCCCGCAACGAGCGCAACCCUUGUCAUUAGUUGCCAGCAUGUAAUGGUGGGCACUCUAAUGAGACUGCCUGGGUUAACCAGGAGGAAGGUGAGGAUGACGUCAAGUCCGCAUGGCCUUUAUAUCCAGGGCUACACACGUGCUACAAUGGUCGGUACAGAAGGCAGCAAGACCGCGAGGUGGAGCAAAUCCCGAAAGCCGACCCCAGUUCAGAUUGUAGUCUGCAACUCGACUACAUGAAGAUGGAAUUGCUAGUAAUGGCGAGUCAGCAACAUCGCCGUGAAUACGUUCCCGGGCCUUGUA